rnacentral:rRNA from 1 species
UACGUAGGGUGCAAGCGUUAAUCGGAAUUACUGGGCGUAAAGCGUGCGCAGGCGGUUUUGUAAGUCUGUCGUGAAAUCCCCGGGCUCAACCUGGGAAUUGCGAUGGAGACUGCAAGGCUAGAAUCUGGCAGAGGGGGGUAGAAUUCCACGUGUGAGCAGUGAAAUGCGUAGAGAUGUGGAGGAACACCGAUGGCGAAGGCAGCCCCCUGGGUCAAGAUUGACGCUCAUGCACGAAAGCGUGGGGAGCAACAAGG